CAGAGAAUAGUUUAAAAUAAAAUAUUAGUUUUGGGAAUUAAAGAUAAAAUAAUUUUUUUCUCUGA
rnacentral:tRNA from 1 species